rnacentral:tRNA from 1 species
AGCCCUGAGUAGUUCGUAGAUUGCAAAUCUAAAGAUUGGUAUUACCAGCCGGGGCUU